CCGCUCAACCCAGACACAGAGAGAGAGAGAGAGAGAGAGGGAGAGAAGAUGACGAAGACAGAACAAGAAGAAGGAGAAGGAGAAGUCACAGAUCUCUUCAAAACCUCCAGUCUAUACUAGGGUUUUGUUUGGAAUGAUACCCACGACGAACAAGGACGAGGGUUUUGUUUGGAAUGAUACCCACGACGAACAAGGAGGACGAAGACCCGACCUUCCUCGAGCCCUGCAGCAAGCGGUGGAUUGAUUGGUGCGACGAGUACACUCAGAAUGUUGCACAUUCGGGAGAUGAUAUGUCACGCCAAUUGACUGGCCCAUUCCAUGAUUUCAAAGUCGACCUCCAACGCUUAGCAGGAUGCAUGUUAGCCAUAGAUAAUUCAGUUCGUGUUGUAAUUGUUCUUGGGAUUGUAAUUUGUGUACUCCAAGCAAUUCAACUUAUGCGUAUGUAAUUGUAAUUUGUUGUCGUACUAGUAAGUUUGGAAAGGAAUUGGAGUUGCUUGCAAUCCAACUUAUGCAAUUUGACCUCUUGAA